rnacentral:lncRNA from 1 species
UGUGUGUGACAUCAUGUGUAGGGCAGGUGAGCAGCGCCAAAUGAGGAAGCCUAGCAGGCCAAGUUUGGCGCAUGAACCAGAGGCUCACUUGCUAUGUUCCCACUGUGUGGCAGCUUACUCUAACUGCCCUGGAUAUUUGUUGCCCUCUGCUGACUUUCUCCAAACCUCAUCCUUAGGAUAGGCCAUAGUUCCGUAACAGAGCUUUGCAUGCAGAAUGUCCCAGGAUCAGUUCUCAGCAUUUCCAGGUAGGGCUGGGAGAUGCUUCCUGCCUGAAACCCCAGAGAGCUGUUGUUAGCCAGUAUAGAUAAUACUAAGCUAGGCAGACUGAUGGUCAAACUUGUAUAAGAAAGUUCCACCUGAACUUCAUUCAUCAAUCCAUUUGUAGGAUGGGUGGAGAGCGCAGUUAAAAGGCUAUUGUGACAUUCCCUGACAAUAUUGCUUCCUACCACAAGAAACUUAUGGGAAUAGAAAAUAUAGCUGCUUCUCCUUUAUUCUAUGCUUUCCAUGAAGAAAAUGAGUGGUGGCUUAUUUAUUUUCCCCUUUCCUCCCCCCCCCUUUUUUUGUGCUGGAGGCAGCAGAAGGCAUCAUGGAUGGCACUGUAUGGUAAAGCUCAUGGUGGGAGCAAAACCUUCUCCCAUGGAGAAUGGGGAAGAAAUAAAAAAGUGACCCUGUCCUGCAAGUUUUGCAGCAGUGUCAGCAAUGUCUUGCUUUUUUCUACCUUUAGAUGGCCCUUCAUUCCCAUCUAUAGUAGAGCUGGAGGAAGGGAGAGGGAAGGAUUAUUUCUCUCCCUUCCUGUUGGGAUUUUCUUUUUCUUUUUUCUUUUUCUUUUUUUUUUUUUGAGAAAGAAGCACCAGCAACAUACUACAGGUGCAGCCUGUAAAGCAGGAUUGCGGAACAAGUGUGUCCCCCUGCCGCCCAAUGAUGCCAGACUCCAAUCAAGUGACUUCGGUGACUCGCUUUGCUGAAAAUCAAGUGUGCAGGCAAGUUGGCAUCCAUCCGUCUCAAGAGACAGUGCACCUCCGGGGGCGAAGUCAAACCUCUGUGCCAGCAGCACAAAGUGACUUUCCUGGCACCCAAGCCGAGGCAGUGUGUAUGGAGGUCCUGGGCUGUGGUCCAAAGGGAAGCAGAGCAAUAGUUUGGCACCAGCUUGGCUGCUGGAGUUGCUGGAAGAAGGCAUGCAAGGUACCAACCUGGAGUCUUAGGAACUCCACUCCAGAUUUGUGUAGGGUUUACUCCUUAACCUUUUCUUCUCCCAAAGGCAGUAGAGGUUUAGGAUCGGUGUUUCCCUUCUCCUCGAUGGGCUACCUUCCCAGGUUGAUGAGCCCCAUCUGCCUCUCAAUUCCCUCUACAGUGCAUGCAUUGGACUCACAAUUGGUCACACCCACUCAAUCCUCCAGAGACUGUCUUGGCAUGCAGGAGAAGACCUUAAUUCACUGAGGGUUUGAGACCCAUUGGCCACCUUCACCUGGUUUAGCCAACCAGUCAAAGCCUUUCCCGGGGUGUGGCAGUUAUCGCUGACAGCUUCUAGGAGCCACAAGUGAGUGCAGAGUGGGGAUUAAAAGUGGACAAACUACCCCAGAAGGAUCACAACUUGUCCCGCACCAGAGGUACUACCGCUCCCCUAACACCCCAUACACCUCAUGGGCAUAGCUUUUGAGGGGAGACAGCACUCGAUUUAUUCAACCUGGUGCCCUCCAGCUAUUGCCAGGCAACUACUCCCAACAGCCCUAGCCACCAAAGGGUGAUGAGAGCUGUAGGCCAAAGCUGUAGGGUGCCAGAGGUUGGGGAAGGCUGUAGGACACCAAACGAUGGAAAGCCUGGGUCUAACCACUAUUCAUUUUGUAUGCUCAUCUCUGAGCCCUGGCAUUGGCAACAGGUUGGGUGUCUAAGCCCCCAUCAGCCCAGGGUCAGAUGAUGCCCUAACUUAGACCAUUUGCUGCUGUUCUAUUCAGAAGAGAAAGUGUGUGUGUGUUUAAAAUAAAAUAAAAUAAAACACAGCCUGCCACAUGUCUCCUUUUCCAUCGGGAGUUUAAAUAAAACUGUUAGACCAGCCCCAGUGACACGAUUAAUAACAAUUAUGGAAAGGCCUUCUUCCCUCUCCCCAGCUCCAACCUUUACCCCAGCAUAUAACAUCUUUGCCUGUGUGUGUUAUGACAGCCCCCAUUGUUGAUGAGGUAAAUGAAUAUCUGUUGUGACUGCCAAAGUCGGGGAGAGGGCAUGUGAAACUUGGAUGCGGCAACAGUUCACGUCUCACCAGGCUUGAUUUAUUGCGUUGCAAGAGGGGCGAGGUGGACCCUAAAUACCGCUCCGCCACUCACUGCUUCAUUCCCCUUGUCUGUUAAAUAUGCAAGUACAAACAGCUUUAACACAGCACUUUACCUAGAAACAAGCCCCGGGCUCCAUCCACAUACUUUUAACAUAUGAAAAUUGAGCUGCUUUGAACUUGUAUGUUUUUGAUAACUGCUUGGUAUGCUUCCUGGAGGUUCACCUGUGGGCUUCCCCCCCCCCACUCCUUUCCAAGUCCUAAUCCCUUUGAUUAAGUGCCAGGACAGAUAGCUCUCAAUGAAUUACUCCAGUCUCAUAAUUCUUCCUUCUUUCAGAGUUGAAAGGGAGCCUGCCUGAGCGUUCAAUAGGUAAAUCCUCUCGAUUUAGCUUGAGCGAUUCAGACUCUGCGAGACUGAGAAAAUUGUUUGAUUCCGAAGUAAGGUUCAGAUGGGCUACCCAAUGUUGGCAUGCUGUUGGUUGCCAGAAGCUGUAGGGAGGAGGGGAGCGAAAGAAGAAAAAGACUCCAAAAUAGCAAGUUGUUUUUUUUAACAAGGAGGAUUAGAAGAAGGAAAACUUUGAGAAGCAAGAAUCUAACUUGGGAUUGCAACAGAAGCAGACAGCCAGGCCUUUAGUAUGAAAACAUAAGAACAUAAGGAGAGGCUGCUGGAUCAGGCCAAUGGCCAAUCUAGUCCAACAUCCUCUUGCCACAGUGACCAACCAGAUGCCUGUGGGAAACCUGGAAGCAAGACCAGCACAAGAGCACAAGAGCACUCUCAUGUGGUUUCUAGCAACUGGUAUUCCAAAGCGUUAUUGCCUUCAACAGUGGAGGCAGAGUAUAGCCAUUAUGGCUAGUAGCCUUUGAUAGCCUUAUUCCCAUGAAUUUGUCUUAUCCUUUUUAAAGGUCAUCUAAUUUGGUGGCCAUCACUGCUUCCUGUGGUGAGCUUUUUUACUCUGCUAAAAGGGCUUUGCAGCCUGCAUACUCUCAUAUUUCUUCCACACAUGUGGGGCAGAAGGUUUACAUUUUAAUUUAUAGAUUUAAUCCACAAUCCAUCUCCAUCAGUGCCUUCCAGAUGUUUUGGACUGCAUUCCCCAUCAGCCCCAGGCAGUAUGGCCAACGAUCAUACAAAAUAGGAAUGUAAGAAGCUGCCUAAUAUGAAGCAAGACCAUUGGUUCAUCUUGUUAAGUAUUGUUUACACUUACUGGCAGUAGGUCUCCAGGCAGGAGACUUUCCCAUCGCUACCUAGAGACACUAGAGGCUGAACCUUGGACCUUUUUCUCAUGUUGUGUCACUGAGCUACUGAGUCAUGGAUGAUGGGAGUUGCCAUCCAACAACAUCUAGAGGGUACCAGGUUGGGAAGGCUGGUUGAGAUGGAUCAGUGAUCUCACUUAGGAUAUGGUACCUUCAUAUGUGUCCAGCCCCUGUUUGUAUCAUUUACUACAAUUCACCUAAUGAACCAGACCAUUGUGUAGUGCAGUGUUGGGAAUAUGUGGCCCUUCAGAUGUUGCUCGACUCCAUCUCCCAUUGCCCCUCGCCAUUGGCCAUGCUGGUAGAGCUGGUAGGUGUUGAGUCCAACAGUGUCUGAAUUUCCCCAUCUUUAUAGUAGUGAUUCCCACCUCUACCCACCCCCAGUGCAACCACAACUGAUGUGAAUUGCAGUGCCAGUGUGGCACAGUAUUUAAUGUGUAGGACUACGAUGUAUGACUGAGUGGGCUCAAAUUCACACUCAGCCAUGAAAGCCACUGCAUGACCCUGAACCAAGUCACUACAUUUGUUCCAUGAAGUGGGAGGAUUAAGCCUGAUGUAACGUUUCCUCUUCACAGAAGAAAGGGCAUGAUACAAUUCCACUGGAAUGAAAAAUCCACAGGGGUUUGAAGACAAGGAUCUAAACUUCAACUUGCUGAUUUUUGUGUGAAAAAGCAUGUGGCUAUUCAAUUCCAGUGUUACCCGUUUUGCCCCCCCCCCCGAUAAAAAAUGUGAAUGUCUGAAUUGUCCUUCUAGUAACUACAUAUAUUAUCAUAUCCCUCUUAACACCCAAACCACUUUUAUUUCAAGCGUAACCUUCCCCCUAUGCCCCAGCUGUUGUCUUCCAUACCAAACCUUAGGUCUACUUUGGAGGUCAGCUAACUACCUAUCAACUAGGCGUUGACCCCCUUUAGCCUGCAAGGUUGGCCUAGAUCUUGGCAUUACGACUGCAUUAAUUGAUUAUUUUAAUAAGACAGGCCAGUAAAUCUUCAGAUAGCUAUAAUAAUGGAUGAUCUGAGGGCUCCCCCCCCCCCCACUCUUUGUGACAUGGCAAUAACAGUAGCAUGGGUUGAAUUAAAUCUGUAGAAAUAAGGAUUGGAGACCUCCUUGUUAAUACCUCAUUAACAAGGGUCUCCAUUAAGUUAUUAUUAUUAUUGCCCUGAAACAGAUUCUCACCUCUGAACUCCAAUCAGCCAAGGAUAUUUAAUGAAAGUGUAAUAAAUUUUAAGAAGUAGCAGAUACAGGAAAGGAAGCUAUAAAAGUAGAUUGGAUGAAAGCUGGGAGCAUUUGAAUUAGUGCUAUGCUGAACAUCGCUCAUGUGUGUUGUGUGUGUGUUGUUGAUGUUUUGCCAUUCCCCAUCAAUUUACAAGAACUAUGAAAGGGAAUUGAAGCCUGAUCCAUCCUUAGCCCCCCUGUCACUGAAAGUGACACAAAACCAGUGAUUGGACACAAGGACCUAGAGUUCUUUCAGUUGGCAGCAGCAGAAAUGGCUGUUGCUCGUCACUGGAAAGCCUAGUCAGAGUCACUAAUUGAUAGCUGGAUCAAUUAUGUCUGGGGCAUAGCGCUCUCAGAUCACCUUCUGCAGAGGAAGACUAUGAGGGGCAUGUCAAAAGGCGAUAGGUUUCAGAAGAGGUUUGGUUUCCAUUCUUCUUCAAAAAUAAGGGACAACGUCCCCUAGUCUUGCAAGGUCCUCUGUGAAGAGGUCACAUGAGCACUCAUUGCUUGUGGGGUAAUGCAUGAGACACAGAAACCUGUGAUAAGAUGAAUCUUCACAUGUGUGAGAGCAGAAUGCUCACAGCAUUACAUUAGCAAAUACUUUCCUUGCUUCUAUAUGGUGCUUUCAUUUGUACAAGCUUGUAACUGAAUUAACUUUGUGUGGUUACAUUUGGUGUUUGUAACUGAUUCUGUGGCAGGGAUUGACAAAGAUGUUGAUUUCUGUUUCUCUCAGUUCCUAAUUUUUCCAGUCUUAAGUUCAGCUCUCCACAUUACUGCACCACCUUUGACAUUGUUUGUUUUUUUUUUAAAAAAAGAAAAGUCCUUGUGAAAAUUCAUCAGCAUUUGUGGGCGGAUUUCUCCUACUAUACACAUUUUUAUAUGCCUUUUUGCCUUUGCACAUUUUUACAAGGCAAUUUCCCCCAGUGUAAUUUUAUUUUCACUAGUUUAUUCAUUUCUCUGCGAACUUUACCACAGUUGAUGUAGUUUUUGUCUACAUUACUGUACUUGGCUAGAGAACUGCAUUGCAAAAUUCUGAUGAGUGCAUUUGCGCAAACCUCUUUCCUUUUGAUGAGGAAGGAUUAGUUAACUGGGUCCCUCAUAAGUAUGGUCCUCUGCAAUGGAGAGUUGCAUGGAGUUAGUUAAUAGGGCGCCCUUGAUCAAUCUCUGGGAUAAUUAUGAGACUCAUAGAAGGAAACGGUUUCUUAUGAUAUGCUUUAUCUAAGCCAUCUAGGGCUUUAUUGGCUAUAACCGGAGCCUUCAAUUAUGCUUGGAGGAGAAUAUGGAGCCUGUGCAGAUGCUGGAGCACUGAUGUAAUUUCCCAGCAUCUUGCAAAAAAGGGAAGAAGGAUUAAGAAGACUAACAAGACCGGGACUCAAGGGCCCUAACGGACCUCUUCCAAAUUUAAAUUUAAAUACUAAAAAUUUAAUUGAAUAGCUGGUUCUUUCCUCUGCUGCCAUAUGGACUUGGAUUUUUGCAAACAUAUGGGCUGCAAUUACCUCACUAAACAAAUGUGCAAAGGAGAAGAAAAGGGAGUCUCAGAAAAUUCUUGAAUGCAGUGGAGUCUGUUCUGAAAGUACAGUAAACUAGCAUCCUUACAAAAGACAAGUGCAGGGAAGGUAUGACUAUUCCCCAGAGCUAGUAUCUGGAUGUGGUGGAGGGGUUUGAGAGAGAGACAGAGAGAGAUACUUUCUGGAGGUACAGUGAAUUCCUCUAGAUAGGCUAGAGAGGAGAUGCUGCUUGAAGAGUGGUGCAAUGUUCCCAUAGGAAGCCCCAGGUUUCCAACCUGUGUGGGAAUGGGUAUAGAGCUUCAGCCUAUCUAGGAUGCUUCUGCCAGUGAUGAUGCUCAAGAACAUCACAUGCUUCAUGCAUAAGCAUCUUCAUGAUAGCUGUUUCCUGAGACAUUCAUUGCUCCUCUAGGCCAUGAUGGAUGGCGUUGCCUACAUAAAAAGGUGUGACGUGCUUUUCCACUCAGCCAGGGAGCAUUCUAGGUUAGUCGUAGGUGUGGUGAGAUUACCCCCUUUUCUCUCUUGUAAGAGUUCUGUUUUAGUAAAGUUGGGUGUGAUUUUAUGAAAUUUGACCUGAUCUAAGUUCCUGAGCCUUCUUUCUAUUUUGACCGAGCUUUUUGAAGCAAGGGUCACCCAUCACAUGGUGGUAGCGGUGGGAUGGGUUCAGUUACUCUUGAGCAAAAUUUAGAAUACACAGUUUUGAAUGCUGAGAGGCGUGUGUGUUAUUUUUUUUAGCCAGCUGGAUAGUUAGAACGUUAGGAGGGAAGGCUGGAGCGAGUUAGAUUCUUAAAUAAUACGCAGGAGGAGGAGGCCGAAAUAAACAUUACUAUUUUCGACACAGAAAUAGACAUAAUAAUGGUGAGUGAAGAGAACUGCAUGGGCAUGGAAGUCCUCUCCAGGAAUGCUGGAAUGGAGGAAGGUAAACUCCGCCUGGAUAGUGGCCAGAAAGAAAAAACUUCAAAUAAUUACAUAGGUUAAAAUCACUUAGAGGCUAAAAUAACAAAAACUGCCUUAUGACAAGAUAAUUCUUAAACUUAAAUCACAGAGGACUGAGCGACGAGAUAUGUUCAAAGGUCUGUCUCAGUGGACACUGACCUUGGUCUGGCCGUGGCUGUUGAGAGUUCCCUCCAAUCCAGACUUUAAGAGAAUGCUGAUAAUGGGCGUUUACCCCUCACGUAUCUCUCAUCACCUUUCAAUGCCAGCCUCGAAGCCUUGACAGGAGCCAGCUGUGUGGAAGCUCAUUAUUUUGGGAAUUCUAACAAGUUUCCACCCGGCCCACAAACCAACCUUAAAGGGGUCAUCCAUCACAGUAGAAAUGGGAGAUUGUGCCAAUAUCGGUUCCUAUCCAUUUCUCAUUUUUCCAAUCUUAUGUUCCGUUCUCAACAUUUCUUCAACAGUUUCCAGAUUUUUAAAAAUCAUUUCAUCAUGAAAAUUUGUUAGCAGCAGCAGCACUAUUUAAUUUAUAUACUGCUUAUAUGUCACAAUAGCUUCUAAGCGAUUUACAGGUAUAAAAUAUCCACAAAUAAUGAAAAUGCACAAGAAAGCAAAACCAUACUUAAAAUAUGCAAUUCAGCAAGUUUGCUCAAAAGCAU